CAGCCGCCACGGUAAUACAGAGGGUGCAAGCGUUAAUCGGAAUUACUGGGCGUAAAGCGCGCGUAGGUGGUUUGUUAAGUUGGAUGUGAAAGCCCCGGGCUCAACCUGGGAACUGCAUCCAAAACUGGCAAGCUAGAGUACGGUAGAGGGUGGUGGAAUUUCCUGUGUAGCGGUGAAAUGCGUAGAUAUAGGAAGGAACACCAGUGGCGAAGGCGACCACCUGGACUGAUACUGACACUGAGGUGCGAAAGCGUGGGGAGCAAACAGGAUUAGAUACCCGAGUAGUCCCUGUCUCUUAUAC
rnacentral:rRNA from 1 species